CACCGUCUCACUCACCCUCUGCCUCUGCAUUCUCGAUUCACCUUCAUGGUAACUUUUUUUAUGUUGUUUCUUUUGCGUUUGCAUGCAUAGUAUUACCAUUUAGGGUUUAAGUUUCGGCGUCGAAGAAACUGAUAUCAAGCUUCCUCUGAGUAAGAAUGGGCUCUUCGUAUGAGCCGGCGCCACAGUUUUGUGUUUGAUUUUUUGGUUUUUUUGGUUUUUCCGCUUUACUUUUGUUGUGAUUCAUAUUGGAUGUUUGGGAUUUGGGAUUGAAGUGAUGCUACUUUCCCCAUAUGAUCGAAGCAGAUUCAAACUUGCGCUAUUUUAAAUUUCCAAGCCAGAACUCUGAUCUUUCCCAAAUCCCAACAACUCAUGUCAUCUAUUCUUCUUUUUGUUUAUUCGUCUUUUGAAAUUUCAAAUCUUUCUUCAGUUUGGGUUUUGAAAUUUGGUGUUUUGAAUGAUUUCUAUUUUUGAAAUUGAAAAAAACCGUAGAAAGAGAAGAUGGAAGUGAUGAUUAUUUCCCCAAAUGAUCGAAACUGAACAAACUGAGCGACUUAUAUCUCUGUAUUACACAGAGACACCAAGCCAGGUGUUUCUGAUCCAUCUUCAUUCUUUAUAUCAGAUCUCUGUAACUUGCUUUUGAAGUUUGAAUUUUGAAUUUUGGUGUUCAUAUAAAUGAUAUCUAGCUUUCAGAUUCUAAGAAUGCUCAUAUAUUUCUCCUUGAGAAGAAGCACCGAGAACCACAUUUUCUGUAUAAUUCAAAGUUUUUGUAAAUGAUGAGAUUACGAGGGAGCAUUGGUUGUGGG
rnacentral:lncRNA from 1 species